rnacentral:rRNA from 1 species
AUACGGAGGAUCCGAGCGUUAUCCGGAUUUAUUGGGUUUAAAGGGUGCGCAGGCGGCCAUUUAAGUCAGCGGUUAAAUCGUGGGGCUCAACCCCAUUCUGCCGUUGAUACUGGGUGGCUUGAUUGCGGUCGAGGUUGGCGGAAUUCGUUGUGUAGCGGUGAAAUGCAUAGAUAUGACGAAGAACACCGAUUGCGUAGGCAGCUGACCAGACCGCAAAUGACGCUCAUGCACGAAAGUGCGGGGAUCGAACAGGAUUAGAUACCCUGGUAGUCCGCACAGUAAACGAUGAAUACUCGCUGUUUGCGAUACACGGUAAGCGGCCAAGCGAAAGCGUUAAGUAUUCCACCUGGGGAGUACGCCGGCAACGGUGAAACUCAAAUGAAUUGACGGGG